rnacentral:rRNA from 1 species
UACGGAGGGUGCAAGCGUUAAUCGGAAUUACUGGGCGUAAAGGGUGCGUAGGCGGUUCGUUAAGUCUGUCGUGAAAUCCCCGGGCUCAACCUGGGAAUGGCGAUGGAUACUGGCGAGCUAGAGUGUGUCAGAGGAUGGUGGAAUUCCCGGUGUAGCGGUGAAAUGCGUAGAGAUCGGGAGGAACAUCAGUGGCGAAGGCGGCCAUCUGGGACAACACUGACGCUGAGGCACGAAAGCGUGGGGAGCAAACAGG